rnacentral:rRNA from 1 species
GAUGAACGCUGGCGGCGUGCCUAAUACAUGCAAGUCGAGCGGUAAGGCCUCUUCGGAGGUACACGAGCGGCGGACGGCUGAGUAACACGUAGGAACGUACCCCAAACUGAGGGAUAAGCACCAGAAAUGGUGUCUAAUACCGCAUGUGCUCUAAGGAGUAAAGCUACGGCGGUUUGGGAACGGCCUGCGUACGAUUAGAUUGUUGGUGAGGUAAUGGCUCACCAAGUCGACGAUCGUUAGCUGGUCUGAGAGGAUGAUCAGCCAGACUGGGACUGAGAACGGCCCAGACUCCUACGGGAGGCAGCAGUGGGGAAUCUUAGACAAUGGGGGAAACCCUGAUCUAGCCAUGCCGCGUGAUCGAUGAAGGCCUUAGGGUUGAAAAGAUCUUUCAGGUGGGAAGAUAAUGACUGUACCACCAGAAGAAGCCCCGGCUAACUCCGUGCCAGCAGCCGCCGUAA